rnacentral:rRNA from 1 species
GUUUGAUCCUGGCUCAGGAUGAACGCUGGCUGUGUGCCUAAUACAUGCAUGUCGAACGAAGUACUUGUACUUAGUGGCAAAUGGGUGAGUAACACGUACCUAACUUGCCUUUUAGAUUGGGACAACCACGGGAAACUGUGGCUAAUACCAAAUAUGUAUAAUUAACAUAUGUUUUUUAUAUGAAAGGAAGCGAUUGCUUUGCUAAAAGAUAGGGGUGCGCUACAUUAGCUUGUUGGUAGGGUAAAAGCCUACCAAGGCUAUGAUGUAUAGUGGGAUCGAGAGGUUGAACCACCACACUGGGAUUGAGAUACGGCCCAGACUCCUACGGGAGGCAGCAGUAGGGAAUAUUCCACAAUGAGCGAAAGCUUGAUGGAGCGACACAGCGUGUAGGAUGAAUGCCUUAGGGUUGUAAACUACUGUUAUAAGAGAAGAAUAGCUAAAAAAGGAAAUGUUUUUAGUCUGACGGUAUCUUAUCAGAAAGCAGUUGCAAACUAUGUGCCAGCAGCAGCGGUAAUACAUAGACUGCAAGCGUUAUCCGGAAUUAUUGGGCGUAAAGCAUUCGUAGGUUGUUUAUUAAGUUUGGUGUUAAAAACAAAAGCUCAACUUUUGUUUGCAUUAAAUACUAAUAGACUAGAGUUAUAAAGAGGUUAAUGGAACUCCAUAUGAAGCGGUGGAAUGCGUAGAUAUGUGGAAGAACACCAAUGGCGAAGGCAAUUAACUGGAUAUACACUGACACUGAGGGAUGAAAGCGUGGGGAGCAAACAGGAUUAGAUACCCUGGUAGUCCACGCUGUAAACGAUGUUUGUUAAUCGGUGGUGAAAUCACUGAUACAGCUAACGCAAUAAACAAACCGCCUGAGUAGUAUGCUCGCAAGAGUGAAACUUAAAGGAAUUGACGGGGAGCCGCACAAGCGGUGGAGCAUGUGGUUUAAUUCGAAGAUACGCGAAGCACCUUACCAACAUUUGACAUCUUUUGCAAAGGCAUAGAGAUAUGCUGGAGGAUAACAAAAAGACAGGUGGUGCAUGGCCGUCGUCAGCUCGUGCCGUGAGGUGUUGGGUUAAGUCCUAUAACGAGCGCAACCCUUUUCUUUAGUUACUAACAUUUAGUUGAGCACUCUAAAGAUACUGCCUAGGUAACUAGGAGGAAGGAGGGGAUGAGGUAGGUCAUCAUGCCUCUUACAUGUUGGGUUACACACGUGCUACAAUGGCAAAUACAAAGAGAAGCAAAAUCGUGAGGUGGAGCAAAUCUGUAAAAUUUGUCUCAGUUCGGAUUGGAGUCUGCAACUCGACUCCAUGAAGUAGGAAUCGCUAGUAAUCCUAGAUCAUCAAUGCUAGGGUGAAUACGUUCUCGGCUCUUGUACACACCGCCCGUCAAACCAUGGGAGUUGGUAAUACCCAAAGCUAGUUAGUUAACCAUUUAUUUGGAGGCAACUAUCUAAGGUAGGAUCAAUGACUGGGGUUAAGUCGUAACAAGGUAACC